rnacentral:rRNA from 1 species
GACGAACGCUGGCGGCGUGCUUAACACAUGCAAGUCGAACGGAAAGGCCCUGCUUUUGUGGGGUGCUCGAGUGGCGAACGGGUGAGUAACACGUGAGUAACCUGCCCUUGACUUUGGGAUAACUUCAGGAAACUGGGGCUAAUACCGGAUAGGAGCUCCUGCUGCAUGGUGGGGGUUGGAAAGUUUCGGCGGUUGGGGAUGGACUCGCGGCUUAUCAGCUUGUUGGUGGGGUAGUGGCUUACCAAGGCUUUGACGGGUAGCCGGCCUGAGAGGGCGACCGGCCACAUUGGGACUGAGAUACGGCCCAGACUCCUACGGGAGGCAGCAGUGGGGAAUAUUGCACAAUGGGCGAAGCCUGAUGCAGCAACGCCGCGUGCGGGAUGACGGCCUCGGUUGUAACCGCUUCGCCUGUGACGAAGCGUGACGUGACGGUAAU